CAGUAAUCACAUUUCAUUCCAGGGACUCCGGAUCAGGUCCGACACCUAAUAAGCUUUAGGACUAACAACGAGGAGAAUUUCAAUAAGAAGAAAUAUGCUGCUAAACCACUGUGGGAGAAACUCAUCAAAGAGCUGGAACUGGAGGGGAAGGUGACCACAGCACAAAUUGGCAAAAAAUGGGAAAAUCUUAAAAAAAAAAUAAGAACACUUUGGAAGACGCCAGCACAUCGGCCUCAAGCUCUGCCUCCCCAGCUGGAAGAGGAAGCUGGAAGCUUCAGGCAUCAGGUCCACUUUCCCCCCGAUCCCCCAAAAAAAGAAACUCUCUAUGCAGGACUUCCUUCAAGCUGAGGCCGCCAAACAAGACAGAAGAUGUCAAAAGAAUGAAGAACACAUGGACAGGUUUCUGAACCUUUUAGAGAAAAUGGUGGACAGGACACCUCAUCAGCA